rnacentral:hammerhead_ribozyme from 1 species
AUCCAGCUGAUGAGUCCCAAAUAGGACGAAACACGAGUCCUGGAU